rnacentral:rRNA from 1 species
AGUGAACGCUGGCGGUAGGCCUAACACAUGCAAGUCGAACGGCAGCACAGUAAGAGCUUGCUCUUACGGGUGGCGAGUGGCGGACGGGUGAGGAAUACAUCGGAAUCUACUUUUUCGUGGGGGAUAACGUAGGGAAACUUACGCUAAUACCGCAUACGACCUACGGGUGAAAGCAGGGGAUCUUCGGACCUUGCGCGAUUGAUUGAGCCGAUGUCGGAUUAGCUAGUUGGCGGGGUAAAGGCCCACCAAGGCGACGAUCCGUAGCUGGUCUGAGAGGAUGAUCAGCCACACUGGAACUGAGACACGGUCCAGACUCCUACGGGAGGCAGCAGUGGGGAAUAUUGGACAAUGGGCGCAAGCCGGAUCCAGCCAUACCGCGUGGGUGAAGAAGGCCUUCGGGUUGUAAAGCCCUUUUGUUGGGAAAGAAAAGCAGCAGGUUAAUACCCCGAUGUUCUGACGGUACCCAAAGAAUAAGCACCGGCUAACUUCGUG